AAGCACUUGGAGUUAGAUGAAUUCUCAGUGGCAAAACGGAAAUCAUAAAGACAGAACCUGUGAUGGUUAGUGCUAUCAACAUGGCACAAUCUGGGGGACUUACUGUCCAGAUUAGGCCUGUGGACAUGUCUUGGGGAUUGUCUUGAUUACAUUAAUUGCGGUAGGAAGUCCCAGCCCAAUAGAAGGAAGCUCUGUUCCCUGGCUUUUGGUUUUGGAUUGCAUGAAAAAAAGGAGAAAGCCAACUAUGUACUGGCAAGCAUGGAUGCAUUUGGUUUUUCUCUGAACUUCACUGUCGACAUGACUGUUUCAAGUUCUCAAGGCCUUUGACUUGAAUGGACAUGAGGGACUGAGCCAGAGUAAACUGUUUCUUCCCUAAUCGAGUUUGGAGGAUGUUCUGUCAAAGCGUCUGGAAAAGAAACUCAGACCCCAAUUCGAAUUUUAGGAUUGGAAUAUGUAACAUCUGAAACUGGCAAAAGUGCUAGGUUCAUUUAGCUGAAUAGAUGGAGCCCAAGGUUCAAAUUGAACAGGAAUCCAGCAAACUUGAAAACAGGAAGAGGAAUGAUUCCAGGUGAAAGUAGAGCGUGAAGUGAUGGAGAUGUGGCCCGUGAGAUGGCUCAACAGACA
rnacentral:lncRNA from 1 species